GAUGAAGAACGUAGCGAAAUGCGAUAACUAAUGUGAAUUGCAGAAUUCAGUGAAUCAUCGAGUCUUUGAACGCACAUUGCGCCCCCUGGUAUUCCGGGGGGCAUGCCUGUCCGAGCGUCAUUGCUGCCCUCAAGCACGGCUUGUGUGUUGGGCUCCGUCCCCCCGGGGACGGGCCCGAAAGGCAGCGGCGGCACCGAGUCCGGUCCUCGAGCGUAUGGGGCUUUGUCACCCGCUCUGUAGGCCCGGCCGGCGCCAGCCGACAACCCAUCAUCCUUUUCAGGUUGACCUCGGAUCAGGUAGGGAUACCCGCUGAACUUAAGCAUAUCAAUAAGCGGAGGU
rnacentral:misc_RNA from 1 species